UGGAGUAGCGUCAGGCUAGAGCGGUUGUAGGAUUUCUCUUUUGUUUUUUAAUAAAAGAAGACGAGCCAUUUUUCCCGCUCGUGCUAGAGUCGCGUUUGUUUUGGUUGUGUUUACCCAGAAUGCCCUGCGCUGUAGUUCACUUCCUGCUUUUGGUGCGGCCUCCGGUCACAUUUGAACUGUACUUAAACCGAACCGAGCCGUCGGUUUUUAGGUGGACCAGAGUUCGGCUUUUUGCUCUGCAUCAGUGUGAUUUGGAGUUCAUGUGAUCCCCGAGACUGGAAAUAAGAAAGACGGUGGAUGUUAGCUUCUGCAGCGCCGCCAAGAUGGCUUCCGCUGUGCUAAUUAAAGCAUGAAAAGAGUCGUUCUUUGAUGGCUGGCGUUUCUCAUGGCUCCCGUAACGCGGCUCCGCGGCGAGGGAGGGAAGGGAAGCGUGAAGGCCAAAUGUGAGGAGGCCGAGACAGAAACCGAGCAGCUCAUCAAGCUCAUUCAUCUUCUCUGAUGUGAAAGGACGGGAUCGCCAAGCGGAGGAAAUUUCACACAGGCUCUAUGAAUCAUAUCAGCUGGGAAAGCUGGAGAUGAAAUAAUGAACAUGAAGUAAAGAUUCAGGAGGAACGUUUCCAAAAGUGACUUCACACGCCUGCUAAGUGAAACUGUGAAAGUUUCCACCGAUCCGACAGCAGAUGCAGACCUGCAGACUGACAUUUGUUCUCACUAAACGUUUUGUACCUCGGUAUUCAGUUUCACAUAUUCAGAACUAUAUAAUCUAAUGCGACACAACAAACCUGGAAUGUAGAAAAGAAAAGAAAACUGGAUGUUUGCCUUGCUCUGUAUUAGGUUUCUGUCGACUUGUUUCUUCUCAACUCAAAGAUGAGAAAUGUUACGCAAAACUUUCCAGAAAAACAUUAUUUUUAAAACUCCUUAGAUUUCCAUGUUACCGCUCAGAUAAUAAGGAGAAAAUUAUAGUUCUAUAACUUCUAUAAUUUAAUCCAAAUAUAGGAGUUGCAGAGUAUGAAACAAGCUUAGCGGUCGGUAGUCCGCUGAAUUUCCAGCUGUUCGCUGCUGCUGCAGGACUCUUAUCGACUCUGACACCACUUUGACAAAAUAUGCACGCACACACACACACUCCCAGUUAUUGCUUAUUUCCUCCCAGCGUUUAACGCCUCUGUUGCACCUGGGUUUACCAGACAAGGCCGUCUCAGUUACACCCUGACCAGAUUGGGUCGCGCCGCUCGUCGAAGUGCUCUGAGGCCGCAGAACUGUUUUUAUUUCCUCCGACUUGGUGUUAAGUUAUACGAGGACUGUCAGCAUUUCUUUGAUUGGGGCCUCAAAAAGCUGUCGAGGCCAACAUGAAAGAUCCCAGUGUGUGCCGAAGUCCCCGCUCGUUCACUUCUUAAUGAUGUGUGAAUGCAAAUAAUUUGUUCACCUUGGACCUUGGAUGCUUUUUCAGCAACAUAAAAGUCAAGAACGGCUGGUUUUUACACGUAAUGUUACAUAAAAAUAACCUGUAGACAUCUCCUCAUACUUUCACCGUAGCUCUAAACUACUCAUACCCCUGCUUGACUGAUUUAGAUGGAAAAUAAUCUUUUAGAAUGUCUCCCACCUGAUAGAUUUGAUUUGAUUGGACACCAAAAUUAUAAAAAGUUAUUGCAUUUUCACAUGCACCGAGUCAAACAAACCCGUCCCCCUCCUCACCUGUGGGGGCGCUGUACCAAGAACCACUGAAAGAAACGACAUGGAAACCUCUGAAGA